rnacentral:rRNA from 1 species
CCUACGGGUGGCAGCAGUGAGGAAUAUUGGUCAAUGGCCGGAAGGCUGAACCAGCCAAGCCGCGUGAAGGACGAAGGUGCCAAGCAUUGUAAACUUCUUUUGUCAAGGGACAAAAUCAGGCUCGAGAGCCUGACCGAGGGUACUUGAAGAAAAAGCAUCGGCUAACUCCGUGCCAGCAGCCGCGGUAAUACGGAGGAUGCGAGCGUUAUCCGGAUUUAUGGGGUUUAAAGGGUGCGUAGGCGGACGGUUAAGUCAGCGGUAAAAGCCCGGGGCUCAACCCCGGCGAGCCGUUGAAACUGGCUGUCUUGAGAGGGCGAGAGGUAUGCGGAAUGCGCAGUGUAGCGGUGAAAUGCUUAGAUAUUGCGCAGAACUCCGAUUGCGAAGGCAGCAUACCGGCGGCGAUCUGACGCUGAGGCACGAAAGCGUGGGUAUCGAACAGGAUUAGAUACCCGAGUAGUC